rnacentral:rRNA from 1 species
CCUACGGGUGGCAGCAGUGAGGAAUAUUGGUCAAUGGACGAGAGUCUGAACCAGCCAAGUAGCGUGAAGGAUGACUGCCCUAUGGGUUGUAAACUUCUUUUAUAUGGGAAUAAAAUGUUCCACGUGUGGGAUUUUGUAUGUACCAUAUGAAUAAGGAUCGGCUAACUCCGUGCCAGCAGCCGCGGUAAUACGGAGGAUACGAGCGUUAUCCGGAUUUAUUGGGUUUAAAGGGAGAGUAGGUGGAUUGUUAAGUCAGUUGUGAAAGUUUGCGGCUCAACCGUAAAAUUGCAGUUGAAACUGGCAGUCUUGAGUACAGUAGAGGUGGGCGGAAUUCGUGGUGUAGCGGUGAAAUGCUUAGAUAUCACGAAGAACUCCGAUUGCGAAGGCAGUUCACUGGACUGCAACUGACACUGAGGCUCGAAAGUGUGGGUAUCAAACAGGAUUAGAUACCCCAGUAGUC